GUUCGGUCUCUAUCCGCCGCGCGCGUUGAAACUUGAAGAAGGCUGUCCCUAGUAUGAGAGGACCGGGACGGACGUACCUCUAGUGUGCCAGUUGUCACGCCAGUGGCAGGGCUGGUUGGCUACGUACGGGAGGGAUAACCGCUGAAAGCAUCUAAGCGGGAAGCCUGUUUUGAGAUGAGGUU
rnacentral:rRNA from 1 species